GAUGAACGCUGGCGGCGUGCCUAAUACAUGCAAGUCGAGCGAACAGACGAGGAGCUUGCUCCUCUGACGUUAGCGGCGGACGGGUGAGUAACACGUGGAUAACCUACCUAUCAGACUGGGAUAACUUCGGGAAACCGGAGCUAAUACCGGAUAAUAUAUUGAACCGCAUGGUUCAAUAGUGAAAGACGGUUUUGCUGUCACUUAUAGAUGGAUCCGCGCCGCAUUAGCUAGUUGGUAAGGUAACGGCUUACCAAGGCAACGAUGCGUAGCCGACCGGAGAGAGUGGUCGGCGACACGGGAAGUGGGACACGGUCCAGACUCCUACGGGAGGCAGCAGAAGGGAAUCUGCCGCAAUGGGCGAAAACCUGACGGAGCAACGCCGCGUGAGUGAUGAAGGUCUUCGGAUCGUAAAACUCUGUUAUUAGGGAAGAACAAAUGUGUAAGUAACUAUGCACGUCUUGACGGUACCUAAUCAGAAAGCCACGGCUAACUACGUG
rnacentral:rRNA from 1 species